GAUGAACGCUGGCGGCGUGCCUAAUACAUGCAAGUCGAGCGAACGGACGAGAAGCUUGCUUUUCUGAUGUUAGCGGCGGACGGGUGAGUAACACGUGGAUAACCUACCUAUAAGACUGGGAUAACUUCGGGAAACCGGAGCUAAUACCGGAUAAUAUUUUGAACCGCAUGGUUCAAAAGUGAAAGACGGUCUUGCUGUCACUUAUAGAUGGAUCGGCGCUGCAUUAGCUAGUUGGUAAGGUAACGGCUUACCAAGGCAACGAUGCAUAGCCGACCUGAGAGGGUGAUCGGCCACACUGGAACUGAGACACGGUCCAGACUCCUACGGGAGGCAGCAGUAGGGAAUCUUCCGCAAUGGGCGAAAGCCUGACGGAGCAACGCCGCGUGAGUGAUGAAGGUCUUCGGAUCGUAAAACUCUGUUAUUAGGGAAGAACAUAUGUGUAAGUAACUGUGCACAUCUUGACGGUACCUAAUCAGAAAGCCACGGCUAACUACGUG
rnacentral:rRNA from 1 species